UGGGGAAUUUUGGACAAUGGGGGCAACCCUGAUCCAGCCAUGCCGCGUGAGUGAAGAAGGCCUUCGGGUUGUAAAGCUCUUUCGGCCGGGAAGAAAUCGCACGGGCUAAUACCCUGUGUGGAUGACGGUACCGGAAUAAGAAGCACCGGCUAACUACGUGCCAGCAGCCGCGGUAAUACGUAGGGUGCAAGCGUUAAUCGGAAUUACUGGGCGUAAAGCGUGCGCAGGCGGUUAUGCAAGACAGAUGUGAAAUCCCCGGGCUCAACCUGGGAACUGCGAUUGUGACUGCAAGGCUAGAGUGUGUCAGAGGGGGGUGGAAUUCCACGUGUAGCAGUGAAAUGCGUAGAGAUGUGGAGGAACACCGAUGGCGAAGGCAGUCCCCUGGGAUAACACUGACGCUCAUGCACGAAAGCGUGGGGAGCAAACA
rnacentral:rRNA from 1 species